rnacentral:lncRNA from 1 species
CCACAUUCCAUUUGGCAUGUCUGGGAGGCUUAGCCCAAUUGACCGAGCCUAGCCUCACAACAAGGCAGCUCCUUCUGUCGCUUGUCACUCUGAUUAGCCUCAAACUGUGAAAAUCAUAAUCUGCCUGUCACACCUUACCCAGUGCUGGAAUUCAUAUAUACAUCAACUCAUCUGGCUACAGUUCUAAGGAAGAAGGAAAGAAGAGGGGAGGAUACAAACAAAGGAAAAAAAACAAUGGAAAUGAGAAAGUUCAUGCGUACUGUUCUCAAAAUAGAAAAUUCUGUGAAUCCAGACUUACCUCUGAGAGAAUGUAUUUGCUAGGAAUUCCUCUAACUGGCUAUCCUCUUCCUACAGAGUCUAGCGCAUGAAUCCUAAAAUAAAG